rnacentral:lncRNA from 1 species
CCCUUUCCUUUCUUUCUCUUUCCCAAAAGCAACUACUGCAACCACCACCGCUGCCGCAGCUACCGCAGCCAACAUCGCAGCCGCAGCCACGGCCACAACCGUAGCCUCUUCUUCCUCCCCUGCUCUGUUUCCUCUCCUUCUCUUCCAGCUACAGCUGCCACUGCCGCAGCUGCCUCCCCUUCUCCUCUUCCUCUCUUCUUCCCUUUUCCUUUCUCUUCUUCUUCCUUUCCCUCUCUUCUUUCCCAGCUGCACUGCUGCAGUCGCAGGCUCAGCCACGGCCACAGCCUCUUCUUCCUCCCCUGCUCAUCUUCCUCUCCUUCUUCUCUUCCAACUGCAGCUGCCAUCGCCGCAGUUGCAGCCCCUUCAUCCCCUUCUUUUCUUCCUCUCCUUCCCUUCUUCCUUCCUCUUCCUCUUUCCUUGCCACAGCUACAGCUGCUACAGCCGCAGCCGCAGCUACUUCUUUCCCUUCUCCUCUUCCUUCUCCUUCCUUUCUUCUACUUCUCUUCUUCUCCUUCCUCCCCUUCUUC